AACGGUGCAAGUCAUCGAGGUAGUUAAGUGUACAUAGCCAGACAUCGAUAUAAAAUGCUCUCAAUCGAAGUCUGAGUCUGCAACUUGAUGACUUGCAUGGGAUAUGUUACUAGCAUUUUUCAUUGUCUAAAUAUUUAAACAUAUCAGACAUGGGAAGACUAGGACCAUCGCAAUAUAAUUACUAAUUAAGUGAAGAAGUGUGAACCAUUAUAUUCAAUUUGUCUUAGUUUCAAGAGACGUCGAACAAUCUUAGCAUACAAGUUAAGUAUUAUUUUUACAAUGGCGGC